AUUGAACGCUAGCGGGAUGCUUUACACAUGCAAGUCGAACGGAGUGGCGGACGGGUGAGUAAUAUAUCGGAAAGUGCCUAGUAGCGGGGGAUAACUACUCGAAAGAGUGGCUAAUACCGCAUACCAUCAGAGGGGCCCAGAUCGGAUUAGCUAGUUGGUGGGGUAAAGGCUCACCAAGGCAACGAUCCUGAGCUGGUUUGAGAGGACGACCAGCCACAAUGGAACUGAGACACGGCCCAGACUCCUACGGGAGGCAGCAGUGGGGAAUUUUGGACAAUGGGGGAAACCCUGAUCCAGCCAUCCCGCGUGUAUGAUGAAGGCCUUCGGGUUGUAAAGUACUUUUGGCAGAGAAGCGGUAUCUGCAGAAUAAGCACCGGCUAACUACGUGCCAGCAGCCGCGGUAAUAC
rnacentral:rRNA from 1 species